rnacentral:rRNA from 1 species
GCAAGUUCGAGCGGACAGAAGGGAGCUUGCUCCCGGAUGUUAGCGGCGGACGGGUGAGUAACACGUGGGUAACCUGCCUGUAAGACUGGGAUAACUCCGGGAAACCGGAGCUAAUACCGGAUAGUUCCUUGAACCGCAUGGUUCAAGGAUGAAAGACGGUUUCGGCUGUCACUUACAGAUGGACCCGCGGCGCAUUAGCUAGUUGGUGGGGUAAUGGCUCACCAAGGCGACGAUGCGUAGCCGACCUGAGAGGGUGAUCGGCCACACUGGGACUGAGACACGGCCCAGACUCCUACGGGAGGCAGCAGUAGGGAAUCUUCCGCAAUGGACGAAAGUCUGACGGAGCAACGCCGCGUGAGUGAUGAAGGUUUUCGGAUCGUAAAGCUCUGUUGUUAGGGAAGAACAAGUGCGAGAGUAACUGCUCGCACCUUGACGGUACCUAACCAGAAAGCCACGGCUAACUACGUGCCAGCAGCCGCGGUAAUACGUAGGUGGCAAGCGUUGUCCGGAAUUAUUGGGCGUAAAGGGCUCGCAGGCGGUUUCUUAAGUCUGAUGUGAAAGCCCCCGGCUCAACCGGGGAGGGUCAUUGGAAACUGGGAAACUUGAGUGCAGAAGAGGAGAGUGGAAUUCCACGUGUAGCGGUGAAAUGCGUAGAGAUGUGGAGGAACACCAGUGGCGAAGGCGACUCUCUGGUCUGUAACUGACGCUGAGGAGCGAAAGCGUGGGGAGCGAACAGGAUUAGAUACCCCUGGUAGUCCACGCCGUAAACGAUGAGUGCUAAGUGUUUAAGGGGGUUUCCGCCCCUUAGUGCUGCAGCUAACGCAUUAAGCACUCCGCCUGGGGGAGUACGGUCGCAAGACUGAAACUCA